rnacentral:rRNA from 1 species
GAUGAACGCUGACAGAAUGCUUAACACAUGCAAGUCAACUUGAACUUCGGUUUGGGUGGCGGACGGGUGAGUAACGCGUAAAGAACUUGCCUCACAGAUAGGGACAACAUUUGGAAACGAAUGCUAAUACCUGAUAUUAUGAUUUUAGGGCAUCCUAGAAUUAUGAAAGCUAUAUGCGCUGUGAGAGAGCUUUGCGUCCCAUUAGCUAGUUGGAGAGGUAACGGCUCACCAAGGCGAUGAUGGGUAGCCGGCCUGAGAGGGUGAUCGGCCACAAGGGGACUGAGACACGGCCCUUACUCCUACGGGAGGCAGCAGUGGGGAAUAUUGGACAAUGGACCAAGAGUCUGAUCCAGCAAUUCUGUGUGCACGAUGAAGUUUUUCGGAAUGUAAAGUGCUUUCAGUUGGGAAGAAAAAAAUGACGGUACCAACAGAAGAAGUGACGGCUAAAUACGUGCCAGCAGCCGCGGUAAUACGUAUGUCACAAGCGUUAUCCGGAUUUAUUGGGCGUAAAGCGCGUCUAGGUGGUUAUAUAAGUCUGAUGUGAAAACGCAGGGCUCACUCUGUAUUGCGUUAGAAACUGUGUAACUAGAGAACUGGAGAGGUAAGCGGAACUACAAGUGUAGAGGUGAAUUCGAGUAUAUUAGUAGAAAGCCGCUCGGGAAGCACAUAAUGUAAAGAUAGUGGCGCUUAGGCGGCACCAAGGGUCUCAACCGGAUAAAACAAUGGAAACACAGAGGGAAUCUAGACUAGAUUGAGCAAGCGGGGGGCGGACAUCAGGGGGGGUUUUUGCUUUCUUUUUAUUUAUAAUAUUAAAAGGAGUCCUUGGGGGGGGACUGCGAGUUGCGAUGCAGCGUUGCGGGCUA